GGUCACGGUCAGGGUGAAAGCCAUACACACACAGCGGUUGAUCAAGGUUCCAGAGGCUGAGAGUGGGCCACUGGAGCAGAGGAAGAUCAUGGUACUUACUGGCUGUGGUCAGCAGAAGCAGGCAUGAGAGAGGGAGGAUGAACAGGCAGAUCUUCAUCUUCAUCAUGACAAACCAGCUCUCCCCAGAGCUGAGACUCCAACCUUCACCUCUGAGCUCUCAGAGCUUCCUCAGGCAGGACUGUCAGUCCCUCCUCCCCCACAUCAUCAUAGUCAGCCUGGUCGGGUUCAGGGGGGCCCUCCCCAGGGGGCAGUGUGGUCAAAGCUCUCUCACCUACAGGGACAGAGGAGGGGACACAAGAGGAAAUCAGAGUGCCCAGAGAAAACUGGUGUAGCCACAGCAAGAGCAUCAAAACUCCACACUUGGUACUUAUUACCACACAGACAGGAUUUACCCCAACAACCCUGGAGGUGGGAGGUGACAGUACUAAUCACCAGUGAACUGUUUAUUGUGUUUGGAUGACAUUGAAACAUAAUACAGAUUAAAAUAUAUGUGGAAAGAAACAAGGAACUGGGUUAAGUUUAACUAAAUUGCAGAGACCCACAUGAUAUAUCAACAGGAUUCUUCUCCUCAAGGACUGAAUCACAGUAAUGCUAAUCUCCUCUCCUUCUGAUUCUCCAGAUAAACUGUGAUCUUGACAGACAGACCCAAGUGCUUCAAUAUGAAAGAAGUUUUGCUAUAGAAUCAUAGAUUCUGGUAUAAUAGCAAUUUCUUAUAACAAACAAAUACAUAAAAAUCCAGCAAUUUUAAGAAUACAGCAGUGCAGCAAUACAGAAUAUAUCCCACUGCAAGCACUGCACUAACCCCACA